rfam:Thermosediminibacter oceani DSM 16646, complete genome.
AAAUAAAGAAUCCAUUCGCUGCAGACAGUAGGUGCUGGAAGGCUUAAUAUCCUACCGAGGCGAAGGCAAUGUAUCAAGUGGGAAUACAAGGCCUUUCUGUACCUCUGCAGGAAGGCCUUUUAAGUUUGCUUA